GUAGGAGUAUCACUGACGCAAUGCACAACAAUGCUGACGCAAAACCAUGCUGCAAGUGAGAGGAAGAGGACGCGCUAUCUCUGCCAUCAUUAGGCUAGCUGGCUAGCUAGCUAGUCACGUAUUUCACGUCAUUCUCUCUUACCUCAAAAUGAAUAUUGCCGAGCAUCGUUUUCUCAUUGCCUGGAGCUGAUGAACCACAGAGAUGUCAGAUCACAGUGAUGUGUGUCCUCACCUGGACUGCAUAGGGGAGGUAACUAAGGAGGAACUUUUGCAGAAGUCAAAGGGGACAUGCCAGUCCUGUGGUGCAGGAGGCCCUAACCUUUGGGCUUGUCUACAGAAUGAUUGUCCCUAUGUUGGUUGUGGGGAGUCCUACUCGGAUCACAGCACUUUGCAUGCACAGGCUAAAAAGCACAACCUGACGGUCAACCUUACCACAUUCAGGAUCUGGUGCUAUAUCUGUGAGAGGGAAGUGUUCCUGGAACACAGGCCAGUUGUGCCUGUGUCUGGUAACCACCACUGCAAGUCGCUGGAGCAGGAGCCCGCUCCUCAAACAGCAAGUCACCCUCUGAAGGCUGUACCAAUCGCAGUGGCCGAUGAAGAGGAGUCUGAGUCAGAGGAUGAUGAGCUGAAACCGCGAGGACUCACUGGGAUGAAAAACAUUGGCAAUUCCUGCUACAUGAAUGCUGCUCUCCAAGCUCUAUCUAACUGCCCCCCACUGACUCAGUUCUUCCUGGACUGUGGUGGAUUGGUCCGAACUGACAAGAAGCCAGCACUGUGUAAAAGCUACCAGAAGCUCAUCUCUGAGCUCUGGCACAAGAAACGGCCCAGUUAUGUGGUCCCCACAAGCCUGUCCCACGGCAUCAAGCUGGUUAACCCCAUGUUCAGAGGCUAUGCCCAACAGGACACUCAGGAGUUCCUCCGCUGUCUAAUGGACCAGCUCCACGAGGAGCUGAAAGAGCCGCUGGCCGAGAGCGGGGGGUGCGAGCGGGGCGAGGGGGACGAGCGGCGGGACGGGGACUGCAGCCCCUCCGAGGACGAGUUCCUGUCCUGCGACUCGGGCUCCAGCAGCGACCGGGGCGAGGGCUGCGAGGGGCGGGGCCCGGGCGAGGCCGAGCUCCUCAUACAGGACGAGUGCGGCGGCCGGGGCGGGGGCAUCUCGGAGAAGGAGCGGCUGAAGGAGAGGAGGGUCUCGGGCUCCCCCCUCCACGGAGGCUCCCAGGAGAUGGACGAGGAUGCCGAUGUGGACACGGCGGCAGAGGAGGGGGACCCCGCUCGGGGGGCGGAGGACGAGGGCGUGCCCUCAAACAGCCCACACAACCAGAGCCAAAGCCGCAGUGCUCCAGAGCCUGACAACGAGGCGUCAAUGCACUGCAACUCCUCUCGGCCAUGCAGUCCCACGCGCAGCCUGCAGGAGCUGCACCCCAAGCUGUCCAGCAGCCCUCCACGCUCCAGCCCCCUGAGGUCCGUAGGGGUGGCCUACUCCCUCAAGAAAGCCCAUCUUCUGCUGGGUGCCAAAAAGAAGAAGCAGGCGCGCUACCGCAGCGUGAUCUCGGACAUAUUCGACGGCUCCAUCCUGAGCCUGGUGCAGUGUCUGACCUGUGACAGGGUGUCCACCACCGUGGAGACGUUCCAGGACCUGUCCCUGCCCAUCCCCGGGAAAGAGGACCUGGCUAAGUUACACUCCUCCAUCCACCAGAACCUUCCGGCAAAGACCGGCUCCUGCCCCGACAGCUACGCCUCGCAGGGCUGGAUCUCCUACAUCAUGGACUCCAUCCGCAGGUUUGUGGUGUCCUGCAUCCCCAGCUGGUUUUGGGGCCCCAUGGUCACACUGGAAGACUGCCUGGCUGCCUUCUUUGCUGCGGAUGAACUGAAAGGUGACAACAUGUACAGCUGUGAAAGAUGUAAAAAAUUGAGAAAUGGUGUUAAAUAUUGUAAGGUUCUUCGCCUUCCAGAAAUUUUGUGUAUUCACCUGAAACGAUUUCGACAUGAGGUGAUGUACUCCUUCAAAAUCAAUAGCCAUGUGUCAUUUCCUUUGGAGGGACUUGACCUCCGACCUUUUCUGGCCAAGGAAAGCCCCUCCCAGAUCACAACCUAUGACCUCCUCUCUGUGAUCUGUCACCAUGGUACUGCUGGAAAAUUCCAAACAGGCGGACAUUACAUUGCCUACUGCCAGAAUGUUAUCAAUGGGCAGUGGUAUGAGUUUGAUGACCAGUACGUCACAGAGGUGCACGAGACCGUGGUGCAGAACUCUGAGGCUUAUGUGCUCUUCUACAGGAAGAGCAGUGAGGAGUCGGUGAGGGAGAGGCAGAAAGUGGUGGCCCUGGCCAACCUCAAGGAGCCCAGCCUCCUGCAGUUCUACAUCUCCCGCGAGUGGCUGAACAAGUUCAACACUUUCACCGAACCCGGCCCCAUCACCAACCAUACCUUCCUGUGUCAGCAUGGAGGAAUUCCUCCAAACAAGUACCAUUACAUCGAUGACCUGGUGGUGAUCCUGCCCCAGAAUGUUUGGGAAUACCUCUAUAACAGGUCAGCCCUCAUCACCGUGGUGUCAUUGCUGUCUCUCAGCUUUGGAGGAGGGCCUGCUGUGAACCACCUAUACGUGUGCGCCAUUUGCCAGGUGGAAAUCGAAGCUCUGGCCAAGCGCAGGAAGGUGGAGAUCGACACCUUCAUUAAGCUGAAUAAAGAGUUCCAGGCAGAGGAAGCUCCCACAGUCAUCCUGUGCAUCAGCAUGCAGUGGUUCCGGGAGUGGGAGAGCUUCGUCAAGGGGAAGGACAAUGAGCCUCCAGGGCCAAUAGACAACAGCAAAAUUGGAGUAAUGAAAGGUGGUCAUAUACAACUCAAGCAAGGGGCAGACUAUGGGCAGAUAUCGGAGGAGACCUGGCAGUACCUGCUCAGCAUUUACGGCGGGGGCCCGGAGAUCGCGGUGCGGCAGACGGUGGUGCCGGCCGACACCGACAGCCUCCACGGGGAGCGUAAGAUAGAGGCGGAGACCAGGGCCCUCUGAGCCCCCGGCUGCUCUGUGCUGGGAUAAACGCAUUGCAAGGCAGAUGUGCAGAAAAAGGGAGAGGGAACAGAGAACUAGACUCUGCUGGAUGGAGACUGUGUACCUUAUCCUACCAUAAGCAUGUUUUUCAAUGUGCUAUAUCAUAGGUAAGUACAUAUUUUGUGUUUUUUGUGAAUGUUGGUCAAAGUGAAUUGAUUGCAUCACUGUAUCCUGUACAGAAUGCAGGUGCAUAACGUUGGCUAGUGGAUUGAAAUUGUAUGAAAACAUUGGCAUAUGCUAUUUGCUUGUCUGCAUGUGUGGACAGAUAUUUUUGAGGGAAAAAAAUGCUUAGUCAUAUUUCUUCCUCUCACAGCCAAAUUUAUAUUUCAUUUGGGGAGAUAUUUUGUCAUCAUUGGUUUUUUGCAGUUUCAGCUGUGUUUGCAUUGUACCAUGCAGACAUGUUUGCAAUCCAAGUAGAUUAAAUUACAUUAUAUUACAGGCAUUUAGCAGAUUUACCCAGAGUGACUUACACAACUUUUACAUAGCAUUUACAUUGCAUCCAUUUAUAUAGCUGGAUAUAUGCUGAAGCAAUGCAAGUUAAGUACCUUGGUCAAGGGUACAACAGCAGUGCCCCACCCGGGAAUUGAACCUAGUCUAGUUAACAUUGAAACUUGCCUCCUAGAAAAUUAAAAAACCUUGUAUCCAUUAUCUACAUCUCAACAUGGUCACAAUCACAGUCACUGCAGCGGACGACAUCAUCAUCUGAAACAGCUCAUCGUGUGCAUUGUGUUCUGGUGUAUGCACUGUGAAGGCUCUUAAUAAAGUGGUAUAUCACCAUUGUCACUGCCAUUUAAUAUAUAAAUUCAGUGCUUAGAACAGUUACAGUAUGUUGCCUGGUUAUUCAUUAGUCUUAAUGAUCCUGUCUUCAAAUGUUAAUUUCAGCCUCCGUUGUUCUUUUUAAGAGGCUGAAAACAUAAAAAAAAUUGAUUAGCAACUUCUGGAAAUGAAGUAAUCAGUUUUACGUAACUAAAGCUCCUCAAUUUAAAAAAACUGACAUCUUCUGCAUGGAUGUGCCCUCUCAAGAAACCUCACAGCAACAUAUAAGACUGAAGUAUGUGUUCCUCGCAUCCCUGUUGGAUAUGGAUUGAUAUUCAGUUACUUGUCAGCCGUGCUCUCUAUCUGGACUAGGCUAAUUAAGGAAUUAAUAAAAUCAGGACAUUUAUAUGUUAUUGACUAAUUAUUGUGUUUCUUUUUUAUUGUAUGUUCCACACAGGAUUUCCAAUGUUUUUGUGUUGCAGUGCUUGUCUCGCCAACUCUGAAUGUGCUCCUGUUUCAGGUCUUGUGAAAUAUAAUCCUCUAAAAGACACUACUGUAACUAACACUACUGUUUCAAAGUGUUCCUCUCAUGUUCACUUUUGGUCAGACUUAAAGAGAGAGGUGAACUUGACAGGUGCUGGUCAUAAUACUCUCAAAUUCUCAGAAGACAUUUUUGGCAUAAUGGAACCAGGUUUGAAGCCAAAUCCCUUGUAUACCGUCCUAUUUGUAAAAGCCUGAGAAACCACCUUUCAGUGAUUUUUCUGUGCCAACUACAAGGUCACAAAAAUUAACAGGAAUCUCAAUUUUACCAACACAAGGAGGAGGACAUUUAGUGUAAUGAACUGUGACAAUUCUACAUAAGAACAGGGGUAAAUAUUUACACCCUGGUGCCAAUUUUAAUUCUAAAUCAGCAAUCACGUCUGCUCCCAGACCCAACGACAUCCAUACCCUCCACCUUGGAUUGGCUUUCAGGCCUUUUUGCAUCAGAAACAGCCCUCUGCAUUAGAUUAUUUUAAAUGUUUCAUGGUGUUUAUUUCAGAUGAAUCUUCAUUUUCGUCUCUUAACGAAUAUCCUUUCUUUCUCCACUCUAUUCUGUGUCUAUUACUGUGGUACAGAUUAAUACUUGUCUCAUCUGUCCAUGAAAGUUUGUUCCAUAAUGUUAGUUUUUUUAAUGUACUUUGUUCCAAAUGCUAACCUGACCAUUUUUUGAGGCUUACCAGUGGUUUGCAUCUUGUGGUGAACCCUGGUGUGUGUAGUCUUAUCUUUAUUUUGGUCAUUUACACUUAUAUGCCUACAUCCUGGAGAGUGUCUGACAGUUGAAAAUGGGUUUUUUCUUAGCAUUGAGAUUAUUCAAAUAAAAAUAUUCUUCAGUCAUCUAUUGCUAAGCUCACCACUGCAUUAUUGCCUCUUAACAAUGUUCUGUACCAUAUAUAUGUAUAAAAAGUGCCAACGUGGUUCACAUGGUUUAUGUAAAUACCCGCAAAUUAAAGCUGACAAUCUGCACUUGAACUUCAUAUUCAUUUAAAAUUCAAUGUACUGGAGUACACAACCAAAACAACAAAAAUGUAUGUCACAGUCCAAAUCCAAUGGACUGCUGUACAUUUAGAAUGAAGUGUCCACCAUGCAGAUGCUGCUGCCACAGCGUAAUGCUCACAUUCUGUGCCGUAUGCCAGUAGAGUGCGUGCUCAGCAGAACACUGUCGAUGUGAAACUAUGGCUAACUCAACGUGUAGUGUAAACAUCUCACAGUUUAAGACUCUGCCUAUGAAUCUGGGUGGUGAAGCGUUUCUGAAGAAGAAGUGUUCUCAUGACUUCAUACAUUCCUGACACACAGCCAAGCCAAGAAGUUGGGGAGUUGGGGGAAUUCUUUCUAAAUUAUCCGAGGGCAGGAAAAUGACCUCGGCUUUACAAGCUAGUCAAAGCUUUUCAUUAGGUUAUUAUUUUAUUGUCUUGCUUGGAUGGGUACCUUAUAAUAAUCAAAAUGAUUUCAUGCAACUUCAUUCAUAAUGAGAAUGAUUGAAUGUGUUCAGGAAGCUAUCACAUAUUUAAUUAUGCUCUCACAUUUUUAAAGUUUAAAGGAAUUCAACAGCCAGGUUCACUGGUCGUUAAUGCUGUAGGUGCAUCCUGUUAUGUGUGUUUUAGUGUUGUCCUGAUUGUGUGUUAUUGAUGGUAACGUAAUUGGUAGGGUUGGUCUUGUAACCUAAAGGUCACAGGUUCGAUUUCCUCGUAGGACACUGACGCUAUACCCAGGAGCAAGGUACUUAACCAGCAUUGCUUCAGUAUAUAUCCAGUUGUAUCAUUGGAUACAAUUUAAAUGCUAUGUAAAAAGUUGAGUAAUUCGGUCUGGAUGAGAGGCUCUGCUAAAUGCCUGUAAUGUAUUAAUGUACUAGUACCUAGGAAGGAGAGGUUUUGGACAACAAGGUUUUCUUUACUUCUUUGCACAUUAGCAACUGCUCUGCUCUGUUGGACACCUGUGGUCUGCCUGUCCUAGCUCAACAUCUUUCACUGCAUCAUCAAACCAAAGGGAACUUACACGAUGAAUUUACAACAUGAAUGAAUCUUGGUUCUCCAUCUGAAAAACUCUUUGACAGUUUACUAUGAAGUGUACAGUUAGCAUUGACUAUGUAGUAUAGACUGCAGGUGCAAACCAUUUUAAUGAUCAUCUAAAAGUAAUGAAUAAAGUGUUGUAGAGACACUUCUGUGUUUAGUUUUUAGUCAAGUUCUCAUGUUAAUAAGACACACUAAUACUGCAUUAAGCUGAUUUACUGUUAAGCUGAACCAGCUUUUAUUUCUGUUGCAUUAACUGUAUAAACUGCAGUUGCAAUCCUACAUUAUGUGGCCAAGAGUAACGAGAAAUCAUGGGGUUUAAUGCACCUCCCAGCUUGUGGUAGAAUUGCAGUGGAUAUGGCAUUUUGUUUCUCUGUGUUGUAAAUUAUUCAUACAUGUCAAUUUUAUUAUGGUGUAACUUUGCCCCUAUGUUCCAAACAGUGCUUGCCUAUAUGCGGGGUCACAAAAAAAGUCAAAUUUGAAACAUGACUCUUAAGAAUAAAUGGAAAUGCACAAAUCUGUCUUGUGUGGUCUUGUGUGGUCUCAUUGAAUUUGAUAGUUGUAUUGCUUAAUCUGUUUUUCAUUCAUAUUUUUUUCUUUUUCCUGGAAUGCUACACGUUCAGUGUUUUUCCUGGUAAUCAAACCCAAAAUUCUGAAUUCAGAAAUGUGAUGCAAUAAGCAGUAUGCUGCAGUGCUGUUCCAGCUUGCUGAACAUGCCACCUCCAAUAAUGAACUGACUGAAGAUCUGGGCACAGUGCCAAAAUGUUAACACACUCUAGUUCAUAGCAGCUUGACAAGUGAUGCGUAUAUGAUAUUCCUGACUACAGUAGCCACAGUAAACAUUGUGAAGGCCAAGUCAUAAAAUUCACGUCUAUUUAAGGAGAAUAGUAUUUUGCUUUGUCUUUCAUAUUUGUUCAUUUGGCUCUGGUUUUCUCUUGUUGUUAAUGUCUGUCAGGUUUUGUGUGCUUUACAGUGUUUCCCUGCCCUCAAUAACAUUCACUCAAAUUUCAGUGCUUUGGUGCAUAUGGAAAGGUAAUUGAACUGGAUCGCCAAUUUCCGAUUUUAUCUGAGAAAGCGCUUUGUAAUGUGAAGAACCUCCCAGCUGUGCUUGAAUACUGUAAAUAAAAAAAUAAUCACCCACCCAGAGGGCAAGGCUAUAUGGAAUUUAUUUUUGAAGGAGUCACAGCCAAUCAUAAAAAAAAAUGAUUUUAAUUUGGCUGGAAAUGCAAAAGGUAUGAUAUGCUCCUGCCCCCCGGAUAUGAGAUGGGACCCUGCUGUACAGGUAUAGAGAAAACCCUAGGAUGCAAGACCACACCUGUCUGGUCACGCCCUGUGGAAAGGGAAGGUUUGUGCAGGAAUGUUUUUCAAACCACAAGCUCUGGCAGACAAUAUUUAAAACAGAUAUUCACAACAGCUUACAGUUACAGAUUCAGAUUAUGGAACCAAGAGGAUCAUUGAAUUUGAUGACUACAACCAGUUAAACCUUGAAUCAGUUUUUUCUUUUGGAACAAAAGAACUUUGUUAGCAGGCUGGAAAACAUAUGACAGAUGUGUUUGGAGUUCAGAGCAUUUAAUACAGCCACAAGUACAGAUACGUAAAGUUCAAAACUAGCAUAUAUUUAUAUAUAUUGAAAAAUUCUGGAAUUUGACUAUGGAAGGGAAUUGAACUGGAAGGAUUAAUAGCAGGCUGUUCAAUGAGCAUCAUAGUGUCUUGUAGCAUGGGCAGCUAGCCUGCACCCGUUUCCCUAAUGCAUAGUGUGUGUGUGAGCAAGAAAUAGCAUGAGUGAGCAGUGAUGAUGUCAUCCUGACUGAAGCCCUCUCUCCCAGGCAUUGCAAGGCAGAUGUGCAGAAAAAGGGAGAGGGAACAGAGAACUAGACUCUGCUGGAUGGAGACUGUGUACCUUAUCCUACCAUAAGCAUGUUUUUCAAUGUGCUAUAUCAUAGACUGAAAGAGAGAAGUGAACCUGACAGGUUCUGGUCAUAAUACUCCCAAAUCCUCAGAAGACAUUUUUGGCAUAAUGGAACCAGGUUUGAAGCCAAACCCUUUGUACACCAUCCUAUUUAUAAAAGCCUGAGAAACCACCUUUCAGUGAUUUUUCUGUGCCGACUACAAGGUUACAAAUGGAACUUGGGUCUUUGUUACAGAGAUUAGCAGGAAUCUCAAUUUUACUACACGAGGAGGACAUUUAGUGUAAUAAACUGUGACAAUUCUUCUACAUAAGAACAGGGGUAAAUAUUUACACCCUGGUGCCAAUUUCAAUUCUAAAUCAGCAAUCACAUCUGCUCCCUGACCCAACGGCAUCCAUACCCUCCACCUUGGAUUGGCUUCCAGGCCUUUCUGGAUAAGAAACAGCCCUCUGCAUUGGCGUAUUGGAAAUGUUUCAUGAUGUUUAUUUCAGAGGAAUCUUUAUUUUCGUCUCUAGGCAAAUAGAGACAAAGGAGGCUGCACAGAACCCCUCCUUCUCAGCUUUGUCACCGGAGGAGAAAAAUACACAGCCUGGCUCACAAAAACAUUCUGCGGGAAGUCCAGCAGUCUGUCAGCGCCAGUGUUUGCUCUCUGACAGAGCAAUUUGCGAGUGUGCCCGUCCACCAUGGGAUGCGUGAUGUGCUCUCAGCUCAUCAACAUGUGGAGCGUGUCUGUGAAGCAGCCAAGUCAAAGAGCCAUGGAACUGUCUCUGUUUCCUGAGGUGUCAUCUGAGGGCUACCAGCGGGUCUCCGGACUGCACUACAUGUCCUCCUUCUCGGAUGCGGAGGACUGCUGUGAUGAUGUCACUCCGAACAGCUCAUCUUCCCCAGAUUGAUUUGAAGCUGAACAGUGAUACACAGACAGAAAUGAAGCACUGGACCAUGGAGUAUUGAUAGUUAUGUUUCCAUUUGUGUGCAUGUCAUUUCCAAAUUUUAUGCAACUUUGCAUAUGGAAAUGAACACUGUAUGCAUAAGCGCAGGCUCUAUUAAUCAGUCAGCUUCUCAGAAAAUAAAUAGCUUAAACUGUCCAAACUGUUUCCAUUUAUUGCAAAUGGAAGCAGUUGUAAUUUGAACAAAACCUUCCCGGCACCAUGGUUCCAUUAAAAAGUCAACGGUUCACAUCGGUAGUCAUUGCUGACCACAUCAUACGGUGCUUGCUCAAAGUGCUUGGAACCACUACAUUUGAGAAACCAAAUAUUGGAAAACACAUGUCAAUUGGCGUUUUGUAUGCAAAUUAAAUAAAUUAUCUUCCGCAAAUCAAGAUCAACUGCCUAUGAGAUUCUAAAAAAAAAAAAAUCUAGCAAGAGUUUGGUCUCCACUGUUCCAGAUCUUGCUCUCGUAAAAGGUAUCCUUAUCUAGGUCCAUGUUGCAUCAUGUUGUGCUGAAUUAUUUCAUUAAAUUGAUAUGGAGAAAUAUGGAUACAUUUUUGUGCUUGACGGCUAGGCUUUAUAGCACUCUAAAUUCUAUGCCACUUGUAUAGUACUUUCAUUAAUAAACUAAUAUAUGUCUUUCUUCAAGGGAAAUGGGUUCAACAAGGGUUCUUAAAAACAGAAGAUAUUAUUGCCAUCUCCAAAGCUGCAGACAGAUAAUUAUGAUCAUUACAUAUUUUUUUAUUGCAUUUCUGAGAAUCACCAUAAAGGGCUAUUGGUGUCACCACAUUCUUUCCACUGACAUCAUAAGGACAACAAUUGCUUGGAAUCAUCCGAUUACUUUCGGAGUUAAAGUGUACCUGAGGCCAUAAUGAAACUUUAGCACGUAUGCCUAAUUGAAUGAGAAGAGUUUGAACCCCAAGGGAAAUUGGUUUGACAGCAGUGGUCCCUACAAGAUGAAUUGGUGAUACUGUAAGUCUAGAUGAAUACUUUACCUUGGUUUUGUUUCUGAAGUGUCAUAGGGAAACAGUAAAAUCACACAAUAUGUUCGUAUUGCAAUCAAUGCCAUGGCAUUUUCUUUAUCUAUAGGUUUGUUGUGUUCGAUUUAUUUAUGAAUGAAAUCAUUUUUCAUCCACUGGCCUUGUCUGUGUCCAAAAGGACACUGUCUUUCAUUGUUUGCUCUUAAUUCUUCUUAAUAAAUUAAUACUCACAGA